rnacentral:rRNA from 1 species
CACUGGGGUUGCGAGCGUUGUCCGGAAUUACUAGGCGUAAAGGGCAGGCAGGCGGAUCCAUAAGUUUAUCGUUUAAGGCGUCGGCUUAACCGGCGUAGGGCGGUAGAUACUGUGGAUCUGGAAUGCGGUUGGGGAAGACAGAAUUCCUGGUGUAGCGGUGGAAUGCGCAGAGAUCAGGAGGAAUACCGAAGGCGAAGGCAGUCUUCCAAGCCGUUAUUGACGCUCAACUGCGGAGGUGUGGGUAUCAAACAGGAUUAGAUACCCUGGUAGUCCCU